rnacentral:lncRNA from 1 species
CUGUGGGUAAUCGAGAAGUGUGGCAUAGUUCGAUAGAUCCCUGAGCAAUAGCAACACACCGAGAGGAGCCGACAGAGAGCAGAAGUAUAGGGGUUCUUCAAACAGACUGUUAGGCAGUGGACAAUGAUCGUUUCAAGGAUUCAAGUUAUCUUUUAGAGAGAAAGCUUUUAUGAGGGAGAGCUUCUUAUUGAGAGAGAGGGAUUGGUGAAUGAGGG